rnacentral:rRNA from 1 species
CAGUCGCCGCGGUAAAACGUAGGUCCCGAGCGUUGUCCGGAUUUAUUGGGCGUAAAGCGAGCGCAGGCGGUUAGAUAAGUCUGAAGUUAAAGGCUGUGGCUUAACCAUAGUACGCUUUGGAAACUGUUUAACUUGAGUGCAAGAGGGGAGAGUGGAAUUCCAUGUGUAGCGGUGAAAUGCGUAGAUAUAUGGAGGAACACCGGUGGCGAAAGCGGCUCUCUGGCUUGUAACUGACGCUGAGGCUCGAAAGCGUGGGGAGCAAACAGGAUUAGAGACCCCGGUAGUCCCUGUCUCUUAUACA